ACGGGAGGCAGCAGUGGGGAAUAUUGCACAAUGGGGGAAACCCUGAUGCAGCGACGCCGCGUGAGUGAAGAAGUAUUUCGGUAUGUAAAGCUCUAUCAGCAAGGAAGAAAAUGACGGUACUUGACUAAGAAGCCCCGGCUAACUACGUGCCAGCAGCCGCGGUAAUACGUAGGGGGCAAGCGUUAUCCGGAUUUACUGGGUGUAAAGGGAGCGUAGACGGUAAGGCAAGUCUGAAGUGAAAUGCAGGGGCUCAACCCCUGAACUGCUUUGGAAACUGUCAAACUAGAGUGCAGGAGAGGUAAGUGGAAUUCCUAGUGUAGCGGUGAAAUGCGUAGAUAUUAGGAGGAACACCAGUGGCGAAGGCGGCUUGCUGGACGACAACUGACGCUGAGGCGCGAAAGCGUGGGGAGCAAACAGGAUUAGAUACCCUGGUA
rnacentral:rRNA from 1 species